GGAAAGGUGGCAGAGUGGUCGAUCGCGCUCGACUUGAAAUCGAGUGACUGGCAACAGUCCGUGGGUUCAAAUCCCACCCUUUCCG
rnacentral:tRNA from 5 species